rnacentral:rRNA from 1 species
GACGAACCGUCCAAACGUUAUUCGGAAUCACUGGGCUUACAGAGUUCGUAGGCGGUCUGGAAAGUUGGGUGUGAAAUCCCUCGGCUCAACCGAGGAACUGCGCUUGAAACUACCAGACUCGAGGGAGAUAGAGGAAAGCGGAACUGAUGGUGGAGCGGUGAAAUGCUUAGAUAUGACAUAGAACACCCAUUGCGAAGGCAGCUUACUACGGAUACAUUGACACUGAGGCACGAAAGCGUGGGGAUCAAACAGG